rnacentral:rRNA from 1 species
AGUGAACGCUGGCGGCGUGCUUAACACAUGCAAGUCGAACGAGAACGGAUUAUAGCUUGCUAUAAUUGUCAGCUAAGUGGCGCACGGGUGAGUAAUGUAUAGGUAGUAUGCCUCUUACUAAGGGAUAACAAAUGGAAACGUUUGCUAAUACCUUAUACUCCUUAUUAACAUAAGUUAAUAAGGGAAAGAUUUAUUGGUAAGAGAUUAGCCUGUAUUGUAUCAGUUAGUUGGUGGGGUAAUGGCUUACCAAGACUAUGACACAUAACUGGUUUGAGAGGAUGAUCAGUCACACUGGAACUGAGACACGGUCCAGACUCCUACGGGAGGCAGCAGUGGGGAAUAUUGCACAAUGGACGAAAGUCUGAUGCAGCAACGCCGCGUGGAGGAUGACACAUUUCGGUGCGUAAACUCCUUUUAUAUGAGAAGAUAAUGACGGUACUAUAUGAAUAAGCACCGGCUAACUCCGUGCCAGCCGCCGCUGUAA